UACGUAGGGUGCGAGCGUUAAUCGGAAUUACUGGGCGUAAAGCGUGCGCAGGCGGUUUUGUAAGACAGGUGUGAAAUCCCCGGGCUUAACCUGGGAACUGCAUUUGUGACUGCAAGGCUGGAGUGCGGCAGAGGGGGAUGGAAUUCCGCGUGUAGCAGUGAAAUGCGUAGAUAUGCGGAGGAACACCGAUGGCGAAGGCAAUCCCCUGGGCCUGCACUGACGCUCAUGCACGAAAGCGUGGGGAGCAAACAGG
rnacentral:rRNA from 1 species